ensembl:lncRNA
GGGUGAAUUAUCGCUCCGUUUGGGUUCUGACUUCCAAGGCUCCGGCCGCCCUCCCCCGGCCCCAGCUCCUGUUUCUCCAGGCUUCCUGCCACCACCGUCGUCACUAAGAAGACAGCGUGAAGUCAGUCCAGCGCCUGCGUUCAUGAUUUUUUACAGACGGGGCACUGAGGCUUUGAGAGGCUAAGCGAUCUGCCCAAAGUCAUACAACUACUGAAAAGCAAGUCCCUUCUCAUCUGACAGGCAAAGGGGCCAGGCCUCCCCCAGCCCAGGCUUCUCACCCCCAGUUUGCCACACCGUCCAGCUUCCCUUCAUCCUGUUGGCAGAGCCCCCCAUUUCGCCUUCUCCCCCAAGACAAACAGAAUCACCUCAUCCCACCAGCCCCUCUUCUUCUCCCCUCAGUUCCAGCAAGCCCUUUGCUUCUCAGACUUUGCUGCAUGCCCCUCCUCCCGCUGCUUCACCUGCAUUGCCUCUCCAAACCCUACAGCAACAACCAGGCCUGCAUGGCAGAAACUGCUCAGAGUAUCCACUCCCAUCCUCUUCCUUAGUAAGGAAACCAUCAAUUCUUUUGUUGCCCGCAUUCACACUCAGAAUAAAGACUACCUUUGCCAGUCUCCUCUGCAACUUGGCACGGCCAUGAGACAGGGUUCUGGCCCCGAUAUGCCAAUGAAAGUGUCGUGGAGGGGCUUUAGGAAAUCUGAAAUGGAAGAAGGCUUUUUGAGGCUCCUUUUUGCUGCUCACCGAAAUGAAAGUGUGAUGGCCCCACCUGAGCGGCAAUGAAGGUAGGGCAUCUAGAGGGCAGAGUUGAGCUCCCAGGGGAAGGGGAGCCUUCCAGGGACCCCUGCUUGGCACUGGGAG